AAUUAUAUGGCAGAUUAAUGCAUUAGAAUUAGAAUCUAAAUAAUCUUUAAUUU
rnacentral:tRNA from 1 species